CAGAAAAGAAAGGUGGCUCAGACAAUCAGAAAAAAGUGAGUCGUAUAAACGAAGCUUUGACUAGAGUGGAGCGAAACAUGGGCUUAUUAAGUGCAAUGACCGCUCACAGAUUGACGUGCGGGGACAACGAGCGUAUGGAACGGCGAACUCGCGACGGUGCAAAGUGG
rnacentral:ribozyme from 15 species